GGCUGGUCCAAGUGCAGUGGUGUUUACAACUAAUUGAUCACAACCAGUUACAGAUUUCUUUGUUCCUUCUCCACUCCCACUGCUUCACUUGACUAGUUAAAA
ensembl:Y_RNA Y_RNA Y RNA